GCAGGGCGGGCGGGCAGCGCCGCGUUUCUCAGGCUGCUGUUCUGCCUGCGGUGCUGAAGUGGGUUAUUUUUUUUUCCCCAGCUCUCCUCCUGCCCCCAAGAUUUGGGAUGAGGGAGCUAAAACCCACCUGCUCCGUGAUCCCACCGCCACACCUCUGCCAGGCUGGCAAUGUGCAGGGGGCUCUCGGGGUUUUUCUCCGGGCAAGGCAGCAGCGCACAGUUCCCGCGAGAGCACCCCAAAUUCUGCACCCAAAUCGGUAGCAUCACGUCAGUAUUGGUGGUCUAGUGCGAGGUCCGAGGGAUUAGCUUGUAGGGGAGGGAUGGAUUUGCUGUUAAAAACCAAAGGAGGAAGAGCGUGCUGCAUUCGUUCAUUCCUUAUGGUUGGAAAUUACAACCCCUUGGCAGAUUAAAGCAUGACCCAGAGAUGCAAUAAAUUCGAAGUUUGGAAUUUAAUUUCUUCAGUGUCCCACCGAGUUUUCUUGAAGAAAGUCAUAUAAUCGACCUUUUUACCAUCUGUGGGGUUGACGCUGGUGCCCGUCACAGGAACUGUCAGCCCUGGGAGGGGACUGGAGCCGCCCGGUCAGGCAGCACAGGCAUCCUGGCAGUGAUGGCAGAUAAUCCCCCUUCGCUCUCCCCUUCAUGUUUUUGGAGCUGAAGUACCUGUGCUCUACCCCACUCGUUUCUGAGUGCCCGUGCAAUGAGCUGUGUAUGUAACAGAGCAGUGUUUCAGAUACCUCUACUGUCAUUUUUCAAAUUUCUCAGGAGUUUCAUAGAAAUGAUUAAUGAUUUUAGCUGGAAAGAGUUAAUCGAGUGAGGAAAAACUCAUCCUCCUUUCCUUCCUUCCUUCCUUCUUCUCAGUCUUCCCUCUACCCAUGGUACACCUCAUCUUUGUUUAUCCUUUCUCGUCCCAUUUGGGGGGGAUUUCUACCCCUGGGUUCCUCUCUGCCAUUUUAUCCAGGUUGUCCCACUGCCGUGGAGUCUAGCUCCAGUGUGCCUUCCUUUCCGUCUCCCUGGGCCUUAUUUCCCUACCUCACUAACCCUUUUUUCAUUCCAUAUUCCCUUCCUCAGAUCAUCCUUAAAGGAGAAAGAGGCCGGAGCUGGGAUAUAAAGUAGUCUUCUAGGAGUACUGCCAGAACUGAUUUGUUUUACUCUGCUGCUGCUGCUGCUGUUGCUGUUCUGCUGUGUCAUGGGAAGAGAGUUACCCAGCCACACCAACCCUCGGAAACGGCACCUCAGGCAGAGCCGCGCGCUGCAAACCUGAGCCGUGUUUUACAAAGCUGAAGGUUUCUGUUCCUUGGAAAGGCCUGAAGAAGCCUAAGGCUGUGUCUGCCUGUGAAUGGAAAAGGUUGGACUAAACACCGGCGUGUGCAUACACGUGCAUACACACGCGCAGGCACAGGAUUUAAAGCAUCCCAUCGAAGUGCACAUAUAGGAAAAUCCUUCAUCAUGUGAUAGGCUUUAAUAUCUGCCUUAAAAUUAAUCCCUAACUGAUGGACUCCGUGUUGUGGCAGAUCACAAGAGGCUCAAUAGCUGAGGUUCCUGUGCAGGUUUUUAAAACUGCCAAAUAAAAUCCCCCGUUUGCUGUUGGAUUAAUUUGUGUUUUCACAGCCGUUACCUGGGAAAUGCUCAUCUUGUGAAAGCAAGUAAGAAAACUUUUAUCGGGCUCGAGUCCUGUUUUUCCUCAAUAAAAAUAAAAGACCCUUGUCAUGGGGUCAGGACAAGGUCCAAUACUAUUCCACAAGGAAAUGGUUAAAGGGCCCAGAGUUCGUCAGUUCCUCUGCUAAGAGAUAACAGUCCAGGGUUUUAUUAGAUCUUGAGCUUUGGAGAUGGUCCUGCUUAUUCGUCAACGUGGUCUUUACUUCUUUUGUGUUCAUUUUUGUCCCUGAAACUGAAUCUUCUCGUUUCACUUCUCUUUCUAAUUUGUUUCACUCUUUAGUUCCCAUGUGUUAGAAAGUGCAGUUUCAUUUAGACUCCCGACAGAAGAGAAGAAAGCCCGGUUCCAGAAAGCAAUUUGCACUAAUAUAUUUUCUUUGCCACUCACAUGAAAACAUUACUGCUAAAACAGAUCUAGGUAUAAACAGUGCUGACAGGCCCUGAAAAACAAAACCAAAUUGUGAAACUGAGGCAAAUAGCCCAGAGAACCUGAAAUGUUCUGGUUUCUAAAACACUGGCUGCUGUCAAAAAGAGGGUAAAAUAAAGCUUUGUUUACAUGUA